GACGAACCGUCCAAACGUUAUUCGGAAUCACUGGGCUUAAAGGGUGCGUAGGCGGCGCUGAAAGUUGGGUGUGAAAUCCCUCGGCUCAACCGAGGAACUGCGCCCAAAACUACAGUGCUUGAGGGAGACAGAGGUGAGCGGAACUUGCGGUGGAGCGGUGAAAUGCGUUGAUAUCGCAAGGAACACCAGUGGCGUAAGCGGCUCACUGGGUCUCUUCUGACGCUGAGGCACGAAAGCUAGGGGAG
rnacentral:rRNA from 1 species